UUGAAUAAUUUUUGAUUGAAUCUAAGUUAGAGACACUUUUAAAAGAAACUAGAUUUUGACCCGUGCUUGAAAAGCGCGGAUUUUUUUUUAUAAUUAAAUAUAUUUUAAACAAAUUUCUAUAUAAGAUAAUGUAUAAGUUUGAGCAUAUUUAUCCAAAAACACAGAUCAAUCUGUACUAAACUGAAGAACCAAAAUUGAACUGAAUUGCAUAAAUAAUAGAGCAAACCAUAUAUAUCUAUGACUGAAAAAUUGAAACCAAACCAAAAACCAAAUGAGUACCUGAAUUU
rnacentral:lncRNA from 1 species